UUAUCGGACUUUUUAAAGUCCAUUAAAACAACAAUUACUUUAUAU
rfam:Glossina palpalis gambiensis isolate 146720 unplaced genomic scaffold Scaffold340, whole genome shotgun sequence.